GAUGAACGCUAGCGGCAGGCCUAAUACAUGCAAGACGAACGGUAAGUUGAGUAGCAAUACUUAGCCAAGAGUGUCGUACGGGUGCGUAACACGUAUGCAACCUACCCUAUACAGGAGGAUAGCCUAGGGAAACCUGGAUUAACCCUUCAUAGUAUUAUUGGAUGGCAUCAUUUGAUAAUUAAAACUGAGGUGGUAUAGGAUGGGCAUGCGUCUGAUUAGUUAGUUGGCGGGGUAAUGGCCCACCAAGACGAUGAUCAGUAGGGGUUCUGAGAGGAAGAUCCCCCACACUGGCACUGAGAUACGGGCCAGACUCCUACGGGAGCAGCAGUAGGGAAUAUUGGUCAAUGGAUGCAAGUCUGAACCAGCCAUGCCGCGUGCAGGAAGAAGGCCUUCU
rnacentral:rRNA from 1 species